rnacentral:rRNA from 1 species
AUACGUAGGGAGCGAGCGUUGUCCGGAAUUACUGGGUGUAAAGGGAGCGUAGGCGGGAGUGCAAGUCAGAUGUGAAAUACAUGGGCUCAACCCAUGGGCUGCAUUUGAAACUGCAUUUCUUGAGUGAAGUAGAGGUAAGCGGACUUCCUGGUGUAGCGGUGAAAUGCGUAGAUAUCAGGAGGAACACCGGUGGCGAAGGCGGCUUACUGGGCUUUUACUGACGCUGAGGCUCGAAAGCGUGGGGAGCAAACAGGAUUAGAUACCCUGGUAGUCCACGCUGUAAACGAUGAUUACUAGGUGUGGGGGGACUGACCCCUUCCGUGCCGCAGUUAACACAAUAAGUAAUCCACCUGGGGAGUACGGCCGCAAGGUUGAAACUCAAAUGAAUUGACGGG